UCCCACACUCCGUAGCAUGCUGUCCGUCUUCACUUUGGUGCCCGAGGCCAAGGUCCGCUCCCCCCAGAUGUGUCCAAGUGACUGCCAAGAGACAAAUGAGACUGAAUGCAAGUGUGUCUACCUACCCAACACAACUGGCUGCACUAAUUAUCAAUAUAUUGAACAAGGACUGAAAACUUUAAACUUACACUGUGUUUUUUCCAACAUCAUGACACAAAAAAUAUGCCAAGUGCUUGAAAGGUUGAAGGAUAUUGUGAAGGAUGAGACAAGUAUGUGUGUUACACCAAUGGCCCCGAAAGAUUUUUUGCGCCAAAUUAAAAUUGAGCACCAAAAAUAUAAAAGUCAGCAAAGAAGUAGCUAAUUCCAUUAGAACGAUUACAAUUAAUACUAUUUAUUUGUUGUAUUUUCUUUAUAUUAUUUAUUUUAGUUUUUGUGACCAGGCAUCCAUGACAGCCCUAGCUGUGGAUUACUGGAACAUUUAACUAUUGUAUUUUAUUGUAUUGCACUGUUCUGUGUUCAACUCUGUUCCUUUUCUCUGGGUAUCAACAGUGACUUUUUGUCUUUCUCUCUAACCUAUUGGUAACUAGCAAUAGGUUAUACUAUAAUAGAUACUUUCUCUAGAUAAAGCACUUCUUGUAAGUUGCUCUGGAUAAGGGUGUCUGUUCAAUGCUGUAAAUGUAACUUUUUGUUGAUGGUGCUGUCGUAGUUUCAUACUGUAUGUUUCAGUACUUUUUCAUGUUAAAAGCAGAAUACAAUGAGUCUAAAGGAAAUGUAAUAAAUAUACAGAAAAUAUUCUUUUACCAAAUUUUGGUCAUUGU
ensembl:lncRNA